AUUGAACGCUGGCGGCAGGCCUAACACAUGCAAGUCGAACGAGUGGCGGACGGGUUAGUAAUGUCUGGGAAACUGCCUGAUGGAGGGGGAUAACUACUGGAAACGGUAGCUAAUACCGCAUACCAUCAACUGUGCCCAGAUGGGAUUAGCUUGUUGGGGGGGUCACGGCUCACCAUGGCGACGCUCCCUAGCUGGUCUGAGAGGAUGACCAGACACACUGGGACUGAGACACGGUGCAGACGCCUACGGGAGGGAGUAGUGGGGAAUAUUGCACAAUGGGCGCAAGCCUGAUGCAGCCAUGCCGCGUGUAUGAAGAAGGCCUUCGGGUUGUAAAGUACUUUCAGCGGGGAGGCGUUACCCGAAGAGGAAGCACCGGCUAACUCCGUGACAGCAGCCGCGGUAAUUC
rnacentral:rRNA from 1 species